rnacentral:rRNA from 1 species
UACGUAGGGGGCAAGCGUUGUCCGGAAUCAUUGGGCGUAAAGAGCGUGUAGGCGGCCUGGUAAGUCCGCUGUGAAAGUCCAGGGCUCAACCCUGGAAUGCCGGUGGAAACUGUCAGGCUCGAGUCCGGAAGAGGCGAGUGGAAUUCCUGGUGUAGCGGUGAAAUGCGCAGAUAUUAGGAAGAACACCGGUGGCGAAGGCGGGUCUCUGGGCCGAAACUGACGCUGAGGAGCGAAAGCGUGGGGAGCGAACAGG